AACGAAUUGCUUCACCAGUCUUCGAGAGUAUUGGAGAAGUGAUCUGUCCUUUGCUGAAACCUGACUCGACGUCAUCUAUAAAACCAGAAGUUGAGUAUGGAAUAGUAUAUGGUGUUUCAGUGAGUAAUAGUGGUGACAUCUUUAGUAACGAGAGUCUGGCAGUGGUGUAUAACUCUAGAUGUCAACAAUGUAACAUAGUUGGAAUUCAAGUACAGUGUUCAUACAAGGGUGAUUUUUGUAUGUCUGAGGGAGAAUGUUAUGAAAAUGAUGAAAGACACCCCGCGUAUACCUGUUAUAGCUGUUCAAUAAAUGGUGAUUCCAGAUCGUGGAAAUAUAACCAAGGUGCUGACUGUCCAGACGUAUCGACAACAGAAUCAACUGGUCUUGGUGAUAAUUUAUGGAUAAUUGUUGGUGUAUCGGCAGCUGUUGUUGUCCUGUUGGUGGUCGCAAUAAUCGGUUAUAUAAAAUAUAAAAAACGACAUCUACCCAAGUCAACACCGGAACCACCCAAGCUGUAUAUGAAUUGCUGAAGUCAAAUUAAUCAUGUUGGCUUCAUCUUACAAGUAUAUCGUUUAUUCGUGAAAACUUACGUACAACUCCUGGAAAGAAAGAAAAACUAAUUAAAUAUAAGCAACUUUAUUAUACUUAAUAAUGGCCCAUUUUUAUACUCAAUAAUAUAAUAGCCUAUUUUUGUCCCCCGCCUUUCGAAGAAAGCAGGGGACUAUUAAAAUGGGUCUGUCUGUCUGUCUGUCUGUCUGUCUGUCCGUCACACUUUUUGGGACACAAUAACUCUCUUUCUAAUUGACAUAGAAUGUUCAAACUUAGUGUAGGUGUUUAUUAGGGCAAUGCCUUGAUGGAGUUCGAAGAUGAGCAUUUUCUGCUUAGGAACACAAUAACUCUUCUUCUAAUUGAGCCAGAAUGUUCAAACUUGGUGUAGGUGUUUAUUAAGUCAAUGCCUUGAUGGAGUUCGAAGAUGAGCAUUUUCUGCUUAGGGUAAGCAGAGAUAAGCAAUUUGAUUUGUUGAUGCUUUGAGACACGAUAACUUUAGUUCUAACUAAGUGAGAGUGAUGAAACUUGGUGUAUAGUUUCAUUACAUCAAUAUCUUGACUAAGUGCGAUAAUGAGCAUUUUCUGGUCAGGGCAAGCAGAGUGAUAAGCAAUUUGAUUGGUCGAGACUUUGGAACACAAUAACUCUCAUUCUAAUUGAGUUAGAAUGUUCACACUUGGCGUAGGUGUCUAUUAGGUAAAUGCCUUGAUGGAGUUGGAAGAUGAAAUUUUCUGCUUAAGGUAAGCAGAGAUAAGCAGUUUGAUUGGUUGAUGCUUUGGGAACUUCAGUUCUAAUUAAGUGAGAGUGAGGACACUUGGUGUAUAGCUUUAUUACAUGAAUACCUUGACUGAGUCAUACUGUACGCAGCGACCCAUCUACGUCAUACUUCCCAGAAUGUGACACUGCCCUGAGUUCAAUGAUUAACAUUUCGAGCUGACGCUAAGCAGAGCUAAUCGAUUUCAUUUGUCGAUGGUUUGGGACAAGAUAAUUCCGAUUCUAUCUAAUAGAGAGUGAUGAAACUUAGUGUAUGGUUUGAUUGCUCGAUACUUUUGAAAAUGUGCGAUUAAUUAAUAUGUGUCAUCUUUUUAUUUUGGUAUUUCGGCGGAGGACAUCAGCCUCACUGUUGGCUUGUUAUACUCAAUAAUAGCCCAUUUUUAUACUAAUAAUGGCCCAGUUGUAUACUCAAUAAUACCCCAUUUUUCUACUUAAUAAUAACCCAUUUUUAUACAAAUAAUGGCUCAUUUUAUACUCAAUAAUACCCUAUUUUUAUACUUAAUAAUGGCUCAUUUUUGUUCACAUUACUACCGGUGUUAUUAUAUUGUAUCAUAAUAAAAUGUUAACCUUG